rnacentral:rRNA from 1 species
UACGUAGGGUGCAAGCGUUGUCCGGAAUUAUUGGGCGUAAAGGGCGCGUAGGCGGCUUGGCAAGUGGAAGGUGAAAUCCCUCGGCUUAACCGAGGAACUGCCUUCCAGACUGCUUUGCUUGAGGCCGGGAGAGGCGAGUGGAAUUCCCAGUGUAGCGGUGAAAUGCGUAGAUAUUGGGAGGAACACCAGUGGCGAAGGCGGCUCGCUGGACCGGUUCUGACGCUGAGGCGCGAAAGCGUGGGGAGCAAACGGG